AAUAACUCUGGUAGGAUAAGAGAAAAAUAAGAGACCAUAGUGUUGCCUCGCAGUUACACUUUCUGGUUCAUACCUUCCGCCUUUCUUUUUGUUCAUAGUGAAAUAAUGAAUCUGAAUAAUCAAAAUAUGAUGGAGUGUCUGCCAAAACCAUGAUUUUUCAACAGCAACGGAAGCAACUGCCAAAUUAAAGUUGCCAACUACGAGCACAAUCUAUCUGAUACAACUCACUUGGUUACACGUACUACGACUACGCACUCCAAACACUUCCUGUGAAACGUCAGUUAACUUAUCACUGAUGCACCGCCUCACAAUAGCAAAAAUACAACACAACUUCAUCAACAAGCUAUGGUGAAGAAUGCACCAUGGCGUCCACACACAAAGAAUGGUUCUUCAAGGAAUACAGGGACAUCUUCGAGACAACCGGCGAGACAGUGCUAACGUACAUCACGAGAUGCGGGAUGGACAGAAAAUCAUCCACCGUUUCCCUCGAAAAGUACUUAAAGAAUCUUUCACAAGAAUCUACAGUCAACUUCAACAUAAGAGCUAUGAAAAAAAUGAAAGAAAAAUCUCGUGAUUCAAAACCAUUAGACGAGAUACGUAACGGGCUACUGAGAAAUCUCUUUAAUACAACAGAAUUAGAACAACUGGAGAAUGAUCCAUCGUGCAGCAAUUGUGACAUCAGCCUCCUUUACAAAAUAAUAAGAUAUGCCUGUGAGAAUGUAUCUGAUGAGGACAAGAAAUGGUCAACUCCGAGUAGUGAGAUGGAAUAUUUCAUAUCGAAGAUAAAAAAGAAACGUAAUAAUGUUGUUCAUAAAAAAGUCCCAAAGAUUCUUAAUGAUGAAAAAUUCAAUGAAGAAGUAGAAACACUAACAGAACUGCUCAUGGAAACAUUAGAAGCUACGAGAAUCAGAUAUGAGAGAAAUGAAGACGAGAUCACAAGUAAAAAGGAUGAGGUGCUGAAAGCUAUUAGUGAUACCAGGAAGGAAGUACAGCAAAGAGCAGCGAACGCUGAACUGCCAAAUUUCAAGAAGGAAACUAAUAAUGAGCUUCAAAACCAUCUCAAUCAUGCUAAAUACAUUGACCCUCUCCAUUUUCUGAGUGGACACGAAAACAACAAAGUUGACGUUCAAACUUUGUUUUCGAGAAUUGAUGUGGUUAACGAAGGAAAUGAUGGACUGCUUAGAGAAAAAGACAUUAACCAUGUUGAUUAUUUAACGAUUUUAGAGAUUACGAAAGCUCGGUCACCGCUUUCAUGUCCACAAAUCCUGCUUGUUGAAGGUGACGCUGGGAGUGGCAAGACCACCUUAAUUACCUUCAUUGUGUCUGAGUGGCUCAUAGAUGAAGGUGAUCGCUGUAUGAAGGGACUUGAUCACUAUGAUCUUCUCUUGCGGGUCGUAUGUCGAGAAGAGAAUAUAUCCACGCUUGAUGAGUUGCUGAAGCAAGUCUUACCUUCCUCUUAUAUUAAGUAUGGAAGCUACCUCGUACCACUCUUAAAAAAAUGCAAAGUCCUGUUUCUUGUUGAUGGGUUAGAUGAAAUGAAUGAAAUAUCAGACAAACUCGUGAAAAAUAUUUUAAGCGAGGGAAAAGAAUGUGGUAACUUUACUUUCAUGUGUACAUCACGGCCUGACAGUGUUCUGGGCUUCAAGUGUAAAACACCUAAAAACUACCAAACUUCCAAAGUGAGAUUAUUUGGCAUUUCCCAUGAAGAGAGGACUCAUUUUGUUCUGAAACAUUACGAGUGGCUAGCCGGAGAUGUAUCCGAUGAUACUGACCAUCUCAAGAAAAGGGAAGAAGGCAUUUCCUAUCUGAAACAAAUUAUGAAAGAAAUUGGUUGGAUGGAGCUUUUCCGGCUUCCUCUUAACUUACUUUUUCUCGCAGCUGUUUUUUAUUAUGAUCCAACACUUGUUACCGCUAAUCUAACUCAGUCCCAGCUAUACAAUUUCAUUCACAUGUGGUGCAAAGAGAAGUUGCUACAUCGAUUAUGCCUUACAUUGUCUGAAAGCAAAUUCAUCAUCCAGAAGAAAGUAGAUACCGUGUUGAAGGUAGUGUAUAAAGUGGCACUAAAAGGACUCCUUGAGAAUCGGAUUUAUCUAACAGGAGAUGAUGAAGAGCUAUUGAGUUCAUGCUGCAACAUCCAAGACUUGCCUAGAAGUGAGGUGAUACCUGCAUUUUACUCAAUGCGGCGAAAGACGGCUUACGGGGUGCUGAAAGAAGAAUACUUUAUCCCACACAAAGGUUUCCAGGAGUUUUUUGCAGCGCAACACAUUAUUGAACAAUCACAUGCAUACAAAAAAGGGGACAUAAGGUGCAUUCUUCAAAAUAACAUGACUGGACAUGAAAGGGGUUUUGAGCCACUUAGAAACAUGCUUUGCCACCUUUUAUGGCAACUGAAUCAGCUCAGCCUUCCAAAUAAAACUAUGGUUCUGGAGGAAGCAGUAGACCUUAUAAAAGAGUCAGGCAUUAAGUAUAGCAGCGAAUGGUUGUCAGUUUUAGCAGACAUGGUGCCUCAUGACGCCACACUGCAACGUAUAGUGUUUCAUAUCAAAGAUCGCUUUGAUAACAAAAACAGUUCUGAUUAUAAAGAAAUAAUAGAAAUAACGGACAGUACAGCGCAAGCCGCCCUUUCUCUCCUUCCACACAUCUUUCCGUGUACUGUCAUGAUAACAUUAGAGAGGUCGUCAGAUGUUAACUUACGGAACGCCAUUGCUCAACACAAACUCGUGCAUCUGUGGCACCACUUCACUCAUCCCAACACAGCUGGUACUUCCAACUACCUGCUGCAGCAACUAGCACCAAUGAAUCCACGUUUCUGUAAAGAGGGUAACACGAGAGGCGAUCACCCGUCCAUUGCCAGAUGUUAAAAGCAUACAUCUAAUCUUAUCCUGCGUCGGUGAGCCAGAUAUCAAGACAGCUUAUGGUAUUGCAGAAGAUUUGUGUCCCAUGAAGAAAGAAUACAAAGUCAUUAGAUUCCCAGAAGCUUCACUAAGCACUGAAGGAUGGGUACAGCUGGCGCAGGGCCUGGCAAAGGCUGGAAUAAGAGUACGGAAGGGUAUGAGGAUGCCAUUCUCUAAUGUCACUCUGGACAACGCAC
rnacentral:misc_RNA from 1 species